CUAAAAUUCUCUUCAUUUCUCUUCAUAUUCAUCAGCUGAAAAACAGCCAUGGAGGAGGGUUCAAGCUGGUUUUCAUACUCUAGCUUCAUAUCAAGAAUCCAAAGAAGAACGAGGAAAAGAAAAAGUUGCGGAAUAGUCCCUAAAUUUCAAUAUCUUCUACAAAUUAGCCGGAUUGACUUGAAGUGAAGUGGGUAGAUCGGAUCAACACAACAAAGCACACUAUCCAGAUCAAUUCCGGUAGCUUUUGUUUUAUGUUUGAAGAUUUAUAUGGCAUGUAUAGAGUUUAAAUGAAAUGAAGUAAAGAUGUUAUAAACUAGUUAACAACAUUUUGUACUAAAGCAGUUUUUGGUUAGUAGCAGUAGUUUGAGUUUGAAAAUUUACCAUAAA